rnacentral:sRNA from 1 species
UGUUUUCCUCUAUUUCUUUGCAUUGAUCACUGAGGAAGCCUUUCUUAAGGGAUUUGACGUAGGUUAUACCUGAAUAGUCUAAUGUUUUUCUCUACUUUAAAAUUUUAAGUCUGAAUAUGGCAAUAAGGGAUUCAUGAUUUGAGCCAUAGUCAGGUCACCAUCCUGUUUUUGCUGACUACAUAUUGCUUCUCCAUUUUGGCUGCAAUGUGAUGUCAGUCCUGAACUUACGGUGAAUCCAUGAGUAGAGUCUUCUCUUGUGUUGGUGGACCAGGGUGCGUGCUAUAUGUUGUGUGGUCUCUUGGCAGAACUCUGUUAGACUUUGACUGGAUUCCUUUUGCACUCCAAUGCCAAAUUUGUCUGUUAUUCCAGGUAUCUCUUGAUUUUCUACAUUUGCAUUCCAUUCCUCUAUGGGGAAAAUGAUGUCUUUUUUUGGAUGUUAGUUCUAGAUGGUCUUUCAAGUCUUCAUACAAAUGUUCCACUUCAGCUACUUCAGCAUAACUGGUCAGGACACAGACUUGGUUUACUGUGCUGUUGAAUGGUUUGUCUUGGAAAUGAAGAGAGAUCCUUCUUCUUCUUACACAUCUUGUGAUCUGUCAGCUUCAUCUCUUCAUCACCUUGACACUUUUGUGGACCUCAGUUGACAGGAGGUCUUCAUCUUUUCCUCCUGGUUGCCUGAAGUCGGCUGUUCCAUAAGUGCUCUAGAGCCUUGUGGCUUC